rnacentral:rRNA from 1 species
AGAUUGAACGCUGGCGGCAUGCCUAACACAUGCAAGUCGAACGGGAGUAGCAAUACUCUAGUGGCGGACGGGUGAGGAAUACGUAGGAAUUUGCCCUUAAGUGGGGGAUAACCCGGGGAAACCCGGAUUAAUACCGCAUGACCUCGAAAGAGCAAAGUGGGGGAUCGCAAGACCUCACGCUUUUGGAGAAGCCUACGUCGGAUUAGCUAGUUGGUGAGGUAAUGGCUCACCAAGGCGACGAUCCGUAACUGGUCUGAGAGGAUGAUCAGUCACACCGGAACUGAGACACGGUCCGGACUCCGUACGGGAGGCAGCAGUGGGGAAUAUUGGACAAGUGGGCGACG